CACGACGCUCUGCCGAUCUCAUGAGAGAGGGGACAUGCUGAGAAACUGCUGAAGCUGCAGAAGCAACGAGGUGGCUGAAUCUUCCUCCAGGAUAUCACGAAACCAGAAGGUGAUGACUGGAAGAAUGGGCUGAAUUCAAUGAAAUGUGUAUUACACUUGGGGAAAAAAUGUGAAUCAGUCACUACUGGACUUGCACAAACUGGUCACUGAAAAAGAUGACCUUCAUCUGUGUGACUUCAGUGGGACGCACUGCCUGGACGAGCAGGUGAAACCCAUCAAAGAACAGGGUGAACCGUGUAACCGACUUGUGCAGGUGGGGAGCCCCUGGGUCUGGCACGGCAGGGCAUCUGAUGAGCACACUCUGGGAGACAGCAACGGAGCUCAGCCUCAGGCUGCCUUCCCACCGCCACGGGAGUGACUUCCCCAGCCACCGAAGCAGUGCGUGCAAGUUGGAGUUACCUUCACGUUUUCCAUAACUUGUACUGAUCCACUUAUGUCCUUCAUUUGUACCAGCCCUUCAAGUAAAGUAAUCUGGCACCCCCCAAAGCAAACA